rnacentral:tRNA from 1 species
GUCCCUGUAGCUCAGUAGGAUAGAGCAACCGCCUCCUAAGCGGUAGGUCGCUGGUUCGACUCCAGUCUCGGACGCCA